rnacentral:lncRNA from 1 species
UUUCCCUUUGCUCUUGGGCAAAUGGGCGUCUACCAUGCCAAUUGUUGCCAAAUGGAAUGGAUCAGCGUUAACCAUCAUCCGUUUUUCAGGAAACUUUAGCUUGCCCUUGUCAAUCCAGCUUUGAAUAUCAUCACGGAAUACGACACAAUUGUUCGUGGUAUUCUUAAUCAAGUUAUGGAACUUGCAAUACGUUUUCCUUUUAAGCUCUUCGACCUUGGGAAUGUUAUGUCCUGGCCGAAGUUUGAUAAUCCUUGCUAAGAACAACUGGUAGAAAAUUACCUCGGCCUUUAUGAUAUCAAAAGUGUAAAUUUUUGAUGUUUUUGCCGUCUCUUCAGUGGUCGAGCGGGUUUUGGCAUCUUUGGAAUUAAUUUGAGUUAAUGCUUUGCAAACAUAUGGUUUAUCUAUUACUAUCUUAGCCGCGUCCACACUGACGUAUUAAGAAUCUUCGCCUUCGACCGAUGCGUAGCUGACCGUGGGAUUUUUGUAAAUCGUUCCUCGGGAUGGGGAUUUCGAGAUCUUUUCUUCUCGGAGCAAAUAAUCAUAUUGCUCGACAUGUUGGGCUAACUCAUACAUAUCCCAGAAGUUUGCCCCCAGGAAUUUAUUUUUGUACUCCACGUCGAGCCCAUUCAGAGCAAGCCUAACAAAUUCAACUUUGGGGAAAAGGUACUU